rnacentral:rRNA from 1 species
UGGGGAAUAUUGGACAAUGGGGGCAACCCUGAUCCAGCCAUGCCGCGUGAGUGAUGAAGGCCUUCGGGUUGUAAAGCUCUUUUACCAGGGAUGAUAAUGACAGUACCUGGAGAAUAAGCUCCGGCUAACUCCGUGCCAGCAGCCGCGGUAAUACGGAGGGAGCUAGCGUUGUUCGGAAUUACUGGGCGUAAAGCGUACGUAGGCGGUGACUCAAGUCAGAGGUGAAAGCCUGGAGCUCAACUCCAGAACUGCCUUUGAAACUAGGUCGCUAGAAUCACGGAGAGGUGAGUGGAAUUCCGAGUGUAGAGGUGAAAUUCGUAGAUAUUCGGAAGAACACCAGUGGCGAAGGCGGCUCACUGGACGUGUAUUGACGCUGAGGUGCGAAAGCGUGGGGAGCAAACAGGAUUAGAUACCCGAGUAGUCCCUGAGCGGGCUGGCAAGGCGCAU